UACGUAGGGUGCGAGCGUUGUCCGGAAUUAUUGGGCGUAAAGAGCUCGUAGGUGGUUUGUCGCGUCUGUCGUGAAAGCCCGGGGCUUAACUCCGGGUCUGCGGUGGAUACGGGCAGACUAGAGGCAGGUAGGGGAGAUCGGAAUUCCUGGUGUAGCGGUGAAAUGCGCAGAUAUCAGGAGGAACACCGGUGGCGAAGGCGGAUCUCUGGGCCAUUACUGACGCUGAGGAGCGAAAGCGUGGGGAGCGAACAGG
rnacentral:rRNA from 1 species